rnacentral:rRNA from 1 species
CACACCGCCCGCCACACCAUGGGAGUUGGCUUUACCCGAAGGCGGUGCGCUAACCAGCAAUGGAGGCAGCCGACCACGGUAGGGUCAGCGACUGGGGUG